rnacentral:rRNA from 1 species
AACAAGGAUAAGCUCAGCAUGGAAAUCGGGGUCCUGGGCCCUGAAUUGUAGGCUGGAGAGGUAUUACCAGCGGAGGCGCAGAUGUAAGCCUUUUGGAAAAGAGCAUCAACGAGGGUGAGAGUCCCGCUUGUCAUCUGCAGUCCCCCGCGUACGGUCUGCCUUCCAAGAGUCACGUUCCUCGAGAUUGGAGCGCAAACUGGGUGGUAAAUUUCAUCUAAAGCUAAACAUUGGUUCGAGACCGAUAGCAAACAAGUACCAUGAGGGAAAGGUGAAAAGGACUUUGAAAAGAGAGUUAAAAGUGCCUGAAAUUGCUG